rnacentral:rRNA from 1 species
CCUACGGGAGGCAGCAGUGGGGAAUAUUGCACAAUGGGCGAAAGCCUGAUGCAGCAACGCCGCGUGAGCGAUGAAGGCCUUCGGGUCGUAAAGCUCUGUCCUCAAGGACGAUAAUGACGGUACUUCAGAGGGAAACCCCGGCUAACUACGUGCCAGCAACCGGGGUAAUACGGGGGGGGCUAGCGUUAUCCGGAAUUCCUGGGCGUAAAGGGUGCGUAGGUGGUUUCUUAAGUCAGAGUUGAAAUGCUACGGCUCAACCGUAGUAAGCAUUGGAAACUGGGGAACUUGAGUGCAGGAGAGGAGAGGGGAAUUCCUAGUGUAGCGGUGAAAUGCGUAGAUAUUAGGAGGAACACCAGUGGCGAAGGCGGCUCUCUGGACUGUAACUGACACUGAGGCACGAAAGCGUGGGGAGCAAACAGGAUUAGAUACCCCUGUAGUC